rnacentral:rRNA from 1 species
UGCCAGCAGCCGCGGUAAGACGGAGGGUGCAAACGUUGUUCGGAAUCACUGGGCAUAAAGAGCACGUAGGCGGUUCGCUAAGUCAGGUGUGAAAGCCCCCGGCUCAACCGGGGAACUGCAUUUGAUACUGGCGAGCUAGAGUUCGGUUGGGGUGAGUGGAACUCCAGGUGGAGCGGUGAAAUGCGUAGAUAUCUGGAGGAACACCGGUGGCGAAAGCGACUCACUGGGCCGAAACUGACGCUGAGGUGCGAAAGCUAGGGUAGCAAACGGGAUUAGAUA